rnacentral:rRNA from 1 species
AAAUUGAAGAGUUUGAUCAUGGCUCAGAUUGAACGCUGGCGGCAGGCCUAACACAUGCAAGUCGAACGGUAACAGGAAGCAGCUUGCUGCUUUGCUGACGAGUGGCGGACGGGUGAGUAAUGUCUGGGAAACUGCCUGAUGGAGGGGGAUAACUACUGGAAACGGUGGCUAAUACCGCAUAACGUCGCAAGACCAAAGAGGGGGACCUUCGGGCCUCUUGCCAUCAGAUGUGCCCAGAUGGGAUUAGCUUGUUGGUGAGGUAACGGCUCACCAAGGCGACGAUCCCUAGCUGGUCUGAGAGGAUGACCAGCCACACUGGAACUGAGACACGGUCCAGACUCCUACGGGAGGCAGCAGUGGGGAAUAUUGCACAAUGGGCGCAAGCCUGAUGCAGCCAUGCCGCGUGUAUGAAGAAGGCCUUCGGGUUGUAAAGUACUUUCAGCGGGGAGGAAGGUGUUGCGGUUAAUAACCGCAGCAAUUGACGUUACCCGCAGAAGAAGCACCGGCUAACUCCGUGCCAGCAGCCGCGGUAAUACGGAGGGUGCAAGCGUUAAUCGGAAUUACUGGGCGUAAAGCGCACGCAGGCGGUCUGUCAAGUCGGAUGUGAAAUCCCCGGGCUCAACCUGGGAACUGCAUUCGAAACUGGCAGGCUUGAGUCUUGUAGAGGGGGGUAGAAUUCAAGGUGUAGAGGUGAAAUGCGUAGAGAUCUGGAGGAAUACCGGUGGCGAAGGCGGCCCCCUGGACAAAGACUGACGCUCAGGUGCGAAAGCGUGGGGAGCAAACAGGAUUAGAUACCCUGGUAGUCCACGCCGUAAACGAUGUCUACUUGGAGGUUGUGCCCUUGAGGCGUGGCUUCCGGAGCUAACGCGUUAAGUAGACCGCCUGGGGAGUACGGCCGCAAGGUUAAAACUCAAAUGAAUUGACGGGGGCCCGCACAAGCGGUGGAGCAUGUGGUUUAAUUCGAUGCAACGCGAAGAACCUUACCUGGUCUUGACAUCCACAGAACUUUCCAGAGAUGGAUUGGUGCCUUCGGGAACUGUGAGACAGGUGCUGCAUGGCUGUCGUCAGCUCGUGUUGUGAAAUGUUGGGUUAAGUCCCGCAACGAGCGCAACCCUUAUCCUUUGUUGCCAGCGAUUAGGUCGGGAACUCAAAGGAGACUGCCAGUGAUAAACUGGAGGAAGGUGGGGAUGACGUCAAGUCAUCAUGGCCCUUACGACCAGGGCUACACACGUGCUACAAUGGCGCAUACAAAGAGAAGCGACCUCGCGAGAGCAAGCGGACCUCAUAAAGUGCGUCGUAGUCCGGAUUGGAGUCUGCAACUCGACUCCAUGAAGUCGGAAUCGCUAGUAAUCGUGGAUCAGAAUGCCACGGUGAAUACGUUCCCGGGCCUUGUACACACCGCCCGUCACACCAUGGGAGUGGGUUGCAAAAGAAGUAGGUAGCUUAACCUUCGGGAGGGCGCUUACCACUUUGUGAUUCAUGACUGGGGUGAAGUCGUAACAAGGUAACCGUAGGGGAACCUGCGGUUGGAUCACCUCCUUACCUUAAAGAA